GAUGAACGCUGGCGGCGUGCCUAAUACAUGCAAGUCGAGCGAACGGACGAGAAGCUUGCUUCUCUGAUGUUAGCGGCGGACGGGUGAGUAACACGUGGAUAACCUACCUAUAAGACUGGGAUAACUUCGGGAAACCGGAGCUAAUACCGGAUAAUAUUUUGAACCGCAUGGUUCAAAAGUGAAAGACGGUCUUGCUGUCACUUAUAGAUGGAUCCGCGCUGCAUUAGCUAGUUGGUAAGGUAACGGCUUACCAAGGCAACGAUGCAUAGCCGACCUGAGAGGGUGAGCGGCCACACUGGAACUGAGACACGGUCCAGACUCCUACGGGAGGCAGCAGUAGGGAAUCUUCCGCAAAGGGCGAAAGCCUGACGGAGCAACGCCGCGUGAGUGAUGAAGGUCUUCGGAUCGUAAAACUCUGUUAUUAGGGAAGAACAUAUGUGUAAGUAACUGUGCACAUCUUGACGGUACCUAAUCAGAAAGCCACGGCUAACUACGUG
rnacentral:rRNA from 1 species